GUGCUCGCUUCGGCAGCACAUGUACUAAAAUUAGAACAAUACAGAGGUUAGCAUGACCCAGCAUAGGGGCGACACCAUAAAUUCGUGAAGCGUUCCAUAUUUUA